rnacentral:rRNA from 1 species
AAAGAAACUAACAAGGAUUCCCUUAGUAACUGCGAGUGAAGAGGGAAGAGCUCAAAUUUAAAAUCUGGCAGUGUUUUGCUGUCCGAGUUGUAAUCUAGAGAAGUGCUGCCCGUGCUGGACCCAUGUACAAGUCUCCUGGAAUGGAGCGUCACAGAGGGUGAGAAUCCCGUCUUUGACAUGGACUACCAGUGCAUUUGUGGUGUGCUCUCAAAGAGUCGAGUUGUUUGGGAAUGCAGCUCUAAAUGGGUGGUAAACUCCAUCUAAAGCUAAAUAUUGGCGAGAGACCGAUAGCGAACAAGUACCGUGAGGGAAAGAUGAAAAGAACUUUGGAAAGAGAGUUAAACAGUAUGUGAAAUUGUUGAAAGGGAAACGCUUAAAGUCAGUCGUGUCGGCCAGGGAUCAACUCAGCUUUCUCUGCUGGGUGUACUUCCUGAUCUGAUGGGCCAACAUCAGUUUUGACUGCUGGAGAAGGAUAGAGGGAAUGUGGCACCUUCGGGUGUGUUAUAGCUCUUUGUCAGAUGCAGUGGUUGGGACUGAGGAAAGCAGCAUGCCGCAAGGCCGGGUCGUUCGACCACGUUCAUGCUGAGGAUGUUGGCAUAAUGGCUUUAAUCGACCCGUCUUGA